CUCAGGAUGAACGCUGGCGGCGUGCUUAACACAUGCAAGUCGAGCGAGAAAAGUUCUUCGGAGCUUUUCUAGCGGCGGACGGGUGAGUAACACGUGGGCAACCUGCCUCAUAGAGGGGAAUAGCCUUCCGAAAGGAAGAUUAAUACCGCAUAAUAUUGUUGAAAGGCAUCUUUUAACAAUCAAAGGAGCAAUCCGCUAUGAGAUGGGCCCGCGGCGCAUUAGCUAGUUGGUGAGGUAACGGCUCACCAAGGCGACGAUGCGUAGCCGACCUGAGAGGGUGAUCGGCCACAUUGGAACUGAGACACGGUCCAGACUCCUACGGGAGGCAGCAGUGGGGAAUAUUGCACAAUGGGGGAAACCCUGAUGCAGCGACGCCGCGUGGAGGAAGAAGGUCUUCGGAUUGUAAACUCCUGUUGUUAGGGACGAUAAUGACGGUACCUAACAAGAAAGCACCGGCUAACUACGUGCCAGCAGCCGCGGUAAAACGUAGGGUGCAAGCGUUGUCCGGAAUUACUGGGUGUAAAGGGAGCGCAGGCGGACCGGCAAGUUGGAAGUGAAAACUAUGGGCUCAACCCAUAAAUUGCUUUCAAAACUGCUGGCCUUGAGUAGUGCAGAGGUAGGUGGAAUUCCCGGUGUAGCGGUGGAAUGCGUAGAUAUCGGGAGGAACACCAGUGGCGAAGGCGACCUACUGGGCACCAACUGACGCUGAGGCUCGAAAGCAUGGGUAGCAAACAGGAUUAGAUACCCUGGUAGUCCAUGCCGUAAACGAUGAUUACUAGGUGUUGGAGGAUUGACCCCUUCAGUGCCGCAGUUAACACAAUAAGUAAUCCACCUGGGGAGUACGACCGCAAGGUUGAAACUCAAAGGAAUUGACGGGGGCCCGCACAAGCAGUGGAGUAUGUGGUUUAAUUCGAAGCAACGCGAAGAACCUUACCUGGUCUUGACAUCCCGAUGACCGGCCUAGAGAUAGGCUUUUCUCUUCGGAGACAUCGGUGACAGGUGGUGCAUGGUUGUCGUCAGCUCGUGUCGUGAGAUGUUGGGUUAAGUCCCGCAACGAGCGCAACCCUUAUUGUUAGUUGAUACAUUUAGUUGAUCACUCUAGCGAGACUGCCGCUGACAAAACGGAGGAAGGUGGGGACGACGUCAAAUCAUCAUGCCCCUUAUGACCAGGGCUACACACGUACUACAAUGGCAGACAUACAGAGGGAAGCAAAGCUGUGAAGCAGAGCAAAUCCCUAAAAGCUGUCCCAGUUCAGAUUGCAGGCUGCAACUCGCCUGCAUGAAGUCGGAAUAGCUAGUAAUCGCGGAUCAGCAUGCCGCGGUGAAUACGUUCCCGGGCCUUGUACUCACCGCCCGUCAA
rnacentral:rRNA from 1 species